GCCCGCCUAGCUCAAUCGGAUAGAGCGUCAGACUUUUAAGGCAAGGGUUGGCCCUGUCAAGGGUUAAGUGAUCUGAAGGCUGCGAGUUCGAGACUCGCGGUGGGCU